rnacentral:tRNA from 1 species
UCCUUCUUAGUCCAGUAGGCAGCAUGUCAGUCUUGUAACCUGAAGGUUUUGAGUUCAAACCUCAUAAAAGGCA